rnacentral:rRNA from 1 species
UACGUAGGGGGCAAGCGUUGUCCGGAAUCAUUGGGCGUAAAGAGCGUGUAGGCGGCUCGAUAAGUCCGCUGUGAAAGUCCAGGGCUCAACCCUGGAAGGCCGGUGGAAACUGUCGGGCUAGAGUCCGGAGAGGCGAGUGGAAUUCCCGGUGUAGCGGUGAAAUGCGCAGAUAUCGGGAGGAACACCAAUGGCGAAGGCAGCUCGCUGGGACGGUACUGACGCUGAGACGCGAAAGCGUGGGGAGCAAACAGG